ensembl:lncRNA
AUGCUCAAAUUUUCUCUGAGCUGUGCUGAAUUCUGUGGUGCUCAUCAGGUGAAAUCCCCCCUGAGAUGUCUGGUCUCUGCUGGAAAGAAGAAUAUGAGGCGGCCAUAUUUUCCCAGCAUCUGUCACUGUGGGACGCCCUGCCAUACACACAUGAGUCUUUCAAAUCUCAAUUCCAAUAUGGAGAAUCUGUCUGUGAAUAACGGUAAUGGCCAGGCGUAUGGAUACCCUCUCUACGAGACCACCAUCACCAGAGGAGGCUCUUUAAAAUCGGGACACAACAUCCAAGACAGAGCCCUGGUUAGUGCUGGUAAACGGUCAAGCCGUGUUUUAAGAUGUCAUGUCUCUCUGAAACAUAUUAUAACUAUCAUCAACCUGAAUCUGAUUUCAGGUAUUGUUGGGAACAUUUUAUUAAAUCAUAUGCCAAUUAGAGACUUCACAAUAUAUAGCCUGGAUAUGACUCCUGACUUUAUUGACAGGUUAUUGACAUCAAAGUGCCUGAAAAAAAAGGAAAUGAACAAAAAGUACUGCUGGAUUGAUAAACCAAUAAUAGCACAUUUGUAUUAAUAGGAUUGCUUUGCAUUCCAUGAUAUUUCUAAAAACGUUUAAACAUUCAACUUUUUUAUUUUAUUAUUAUUCUUUUUUAAAAGUGGUCUUGCUGGGGACUGUGUGUAAUAUUGUGUUAAAUUUGUGUUCAAUGGAAAAUAUUUGAAUGACAGCUUCAUUUGUUAGCAUGAAAAUUUUUGAUUGUCUCCAAACUUGCCGAAAUUGGUUGUAUUAAUGCAAUUUUUUGUUUGUUUUUAUAUGAAAAUAAUUAUUAAAUGUUGCACUGGCCCUUUAAGCAUCAGGAAGACAAUUUACUGUUGACUGUGGAUCCAGCAUUAUCAUGUUGGUUUCCUUUUUUGCAAACACUGAGAAAAAUUGUAUAUAUUACUGAAACUGUAUUUAUGAUUUGAGGUUUGUUCAAAUGAAACUUGUAGCAUUGUUUGUGCUACAAACAUACAGAUACAUCAUACUUUGAUGUUUAAUUGAAGAAGGAUGUGCCAAUAUCUUUUUAAACAAUCAGACUUUUGCCUAAACUUCAUCUGGCAGACAAUAAAACAGGUUAAAAAAGGCUCUUCUGUUAUAAUCAUGUUUCCUUCCUUCUCCCAUUUGGUUAAAAAGAUGUAAAUCCCAAUGGGAAGCCACAGGCUCACACCAGUGGAGGUUAUAGCCUGGAAAAAUGUCAUUCGAUUUUUUUAUAUCCCCUGCACAAAUGUGCCAUAGUGAAAUAGGAUCUGGAUGUUGGAGAAAUUCUGAUAUUUCUAAUUCUGAAGUAGCAAAUCAUCACCAUAUAUUCUUUUAGAAAGACAUACACAGGACAUUGGAGGCCAAAUUGAAGCUAAAAAUCCCAUUUCAGUUUCAUGCAUUAUAUUUGGGAUAUCUGGAUUUGCAUGAAAAAAUUAUACAUAUCUAUGGAUAUAUUGCUGUUAGAUAUUCCUGGUUGCAGCUAAAAAGACUAUUAUUUGUAAAUGCUUCAACAUAAUCCGCCCACUCUAGAAGACUGGAACACAAUUUUAAUUGAAAUAUAUAAAAUGGAAAUGCUUACUUUUUCUUUUAAAUGAAAAAGGGGGAUAUUUUAUGGAGUGAAUGGAAACAAUAUUUGGCUUCUGAGAAUUAGUAAUAACAUAAUAGAUAUUAUAAUAGAACAGUAUUGUAAAUUUAAUCUUGUAACUAUGCAAAGUCA